AUCCAGCUGAAGAGUCCUAAAUAAAACGAAAUGCGUAUAGUGGAU
rnacentral:hammerhead_ribozyme from 1 species